GACGGAGGGGGCAAGCGUUGUCCGGACUCACUGGGCGUAAAGGGUGCGUAGGCGGUCUUAUGCGUCGGCGCUGAAAUCACACGGCUCAACCGUGUGGCGCGUGCCGAUACGACGAGACUUGAGGCUCUGGAGAGGGUGGCGGAACUCCUGGUGUAGUGGUGAAAUGCGUAGAGAUCAGGAAGAACACCGGUGGCGAAGGCGGAUCUCUGGGCCAUUACUGACGCUGGAGGAGCGAAAGCCGUGGGGAGCGAACAGG
rnacentral:rRNA from 1 species